rnacentral:rRNA from 1 species
GAUCCUGGCUCAGGAUGAACGCUAGCUACAGGCUUAACACAUGCAAGUCGAGGGGCAGCAUGGACCCAGCUUUGCUGGGUUUGAUGGCGACCGGCGCACGGGUGAGUAACGCGUAUCCAACCUGCCCUUUACUCCGGGAUAGUCUCCUGAAAGGGAGUUUAAUACCGGAUGUGUUUGUCUUUCCGCAUGGGAGCGACAAAUAAAGAUUAAUUGGUAAAGGAUGGGGAUGCGUCCCAUUAGCUUGUUGGG